UACGUAGGGACCAAGCGUUGUUCGGAUUUACUGGGCGUAAAGGGCGCGUAGGCGGCAGUUCAAGUCAGCUGUGAAAUCUCCGGGCUUAACUCGGAACGGUCAGCUGAUACUGCUUUGCUAGAGUGCAGAAGGGGCAAUCGGAAUUCUCGGUGUAGCGGUGAAAUGCGUAGAUAUCGAGAGGAACACCUGAGGUGAAGACGGGUUGCUGGGCUGACACUGACGCUGAUGCGCGAAAGCCAGGGUAGCAAACGGG
rnacentral:rRNA from 1 species